AUGCUUCAGCAGCACAUAUACUAAAAUUGGAAUUAUACAAAGAAGAUUAGUGUGGCCCAUGUGCAAUGAUGACAUGCGAAUUUGUGAAGCAUCUCUAUAUUUA